rnacentral:rRNA from 1 species
UACGAAGGGGGCUAGCGUUGUUCGGAAUCACUGGGCGUAAAGCGCACGUAGGCGGAUAUUUAAGUCAGGGGUGAAAUCCCAGAGCUCAACUCUGGAACUGCCUUUGAUACUGGGUAUCUUGAGUAUGGAAGAGGUAAGUGGAAUUGCGAGUGUAGAGGUGAAAUUCGUAGAUAUUCGCAGGAACACCAGUGGCGAAGGCGGCUUACUGGUCCAUUACUGACGCUGAGGUGCGAAAGCGUGGGGAGCAAACAGG